rnacentral:rRNA from 1 species
GACGGAGGAUGCAAGCGUUAUCCGGAAUGAUUGGGCGUAAAGCGUCCGCAGGUGGCAGUUCAAGUCUGCUGUCAAAGACCGGGGCUCAACCCCGGGAAGGCGGUGGAAACUGUUGAACUAGAGGGUCGUAGGGGUAGAGGGAAUUCCCAGUGUAGCGGUGAAAUGCGUAGAGAUUGGGAAGAACAUCGGUGGCGAAGGCGCUCUACUGGACGGCAACUGACACUCAGGGACGAAAGCUAGGGGAGCGAAUGGG